UAACGAUGUGUUUUCUCCUCUUCUUCCAG
rnacentral:piRNA from 1 species